rnacentral:rRNA from 1 species
AGGGGAAUUUUGGACAAUGGGCGCAAGCCUGAUCCAGCCAUGCCGCGUGAGUGAAGAAGGCCUUCGGGUUGUAAAGCUCUUUCGGACGGGAAGAAAUGGCGGGCUCUAACAUAGCCUGUCGAUGACGGUACCGUAAGAAGAAGCACCGGCUAACUACGUGCCAGCAGCCGCGGUAAUACGUAGGGUGCGAGCGUUAUCCGGAAUUAUUGGGUUUAAAGGGUGCGUAGGCGGACUAAUAAGUCAGUGGUGAAAGCCUGCAGCUUAACUGCAGAAUUGCCAUUGAUACUGUUAGUCUUGAGUACAGUUGAGGUAGGCGGAAUGUGUCAUGUAGCGGUGAAAUGCUUAGAUAUGACACAGAACACCGAUUGCGAAGGCAGCUUGCUAAGCUGUAACUGACGCUGAGGCACGAAAGCGUGGGGAGCAAACA